AAUAAUAAAAAGCACCCGAAAUGCAAGAGGGAGGUAGGCCAGGAGGCGCGCUGCCGCCGUGCAGGCCCGGCGCCGCGCCCCCCCAGCCUCCUCCGACCCGGGGCCGGGGGGCCGGAGCCAGCCCCCCGCAGGGCGCUGUGGCGGCGGCCGGGGCCCGGGCCGGGCCGCGGCACGGGGAGGCGGCACAAUGGCGUCGCUGCUAAGGAGAGCGACGGAGUGGCGCAGAGCCGGGCUGGAUCCAGCCGGGGUGCUGAGGCCAUCCCCCCGCUCCCCCCCGCCGCUGGGCCCGCGGCGCUCUCGGCGGGCCGGACGCCUCACGGCAAAUCCUGUGAAGUCCACGUGAACGGCCCCGCUCAGCUCAGGGGACCUUUCGCAGGCUGGGCUUGACUGGCGUGCUGAGGCGUUCCCAGAGCUAGGCCUCGCCUGGCGAGCAGCCGCCCACCGCAGCUCUGGGUGCGCUGGCCGAAGGUGGGCUGCUGGGUGGCCAACUGCGGGGACACCGCAGCAUCCCUAGCUGCAGGGACACUGCAGCACCCCGAACUGCGGGGGACACCGCAGCAUCCCCAGCUGCAGGGACACUGCAGCACCCCGAACUGCGGGGACGCAGCAGCAUCCCCAGCUGUGGGGACAUCGCAACGCCCACACCAUGGCCACGGGGCGUCCCAGCAGUGCCCAGAGCCAGGUUUACCCCUUGUGCGUCGUGCUUCGCACCGCCUGGUUUCAUAGCGAGUGGCAGCGUUGCCCACCCGCGCGUGCAGCAGGGCGUGGGACAUGUUUUGCAGGGCUCACGUGGAGCGAUCUGCUGCCGCUGCCUCUCCAGCCCAAACGUUAGCAUUACCACUUUCAUUUUCCUCAUCUACAUACAAUAAAAGGGAAAAUGGCUUGGUAUCCUUACAGAUCAGGUUUUGCUGUUGUAGUUUUUAGAGGGAGGUGAUGGCGGGUUGAAGUUGGCGUGCACCUUUUCCGUUGCUCUGGACGCUGUGCUCUCAACAGUACCUUAUUUUGAAUGGUGAGAUUGUCUGUUGCAAUGGGAAAAAAAGAGUUUGGGGGAAAAAAUAAAUCCUUCUUUGACUAUAGUGCAGUCUAAGCAUCGUUUUAAGGAACCCAAAAUUGAAACCACUUUUUUUUUUUUUCUUUCUUUUAAACCCAAGCUACCCAAGAUGCUUUCUGGCUUGGCUAGAAAGACAAGUUCGUUUCUGUUUCGGAAUUGUUUUGAACUGGUUUUUUAGGCUAAAUUCUUAUCUGUCUUAACUAUACUGUCUCAGCAGAGUACGUUACUGAUACAUUAUUUUGGUAGACUGGAAAAGCACUGCGUACAACUUGAUCAUUGUCUAUAUUUCACCAUUCAUUUUUAAGUGAGGCUUUUUAAGUGAGGCUCUUUUGAUUGAUGUGGGGAACUUGUUUGAAAGGAUGAAGAGUAUGCCAUAGCUACCUGAGAUGCUACUCGCAAUUAUUUCGUACCUCAGCUAACAGGAAGAUUUUUAGUUGUGAUUGUUACACUUUUAAAGGUGAAUUAGUUAAUCAAAUUGCUAUUUUUGGAAUGCACUUAAAGGAACAUUAAAAUGCAUUAAUUUCAUUAAAAUAAAUGAGCAGAUAGGCAACAAAACACGUAUUAGUCAAAUAAGUAAGACCUCACCUGUGGAGCUAAAUUCAGCCCUAGUGAAAUCAACUGAGUUGUGCUUGUCUAAAGCAUAUUUAAUUUGGCCUCCGCAGUCACACAGCUGACACUUUAUUUGGUUGUCAAAGGUGUGUAUAUUAAAAAUGUGUGAGCCAUGCUUCUUCUCCAAUGUGAUUAACCUCUGAAGUUAAAUUCAGCUGUUUUCCAUUUAGCUCAGCUAUGCAGUCCUAUCGCAUAUGCAAUUUUUGGUGCGCAUACACCCCAGAGAUGCAGAGAGGCAUUCCCAACGCCAGUAUUAGUCUAAGGGACGUGAGUUGUGUCUGAAGCGAGGGUGUGAUGAGGCUGAUUUCAGCGGAGGCUGUUCACAACCAACUGCAUGCAUGCUCCACUUAACAGGCUGUGCUGAAGUCUCUGCUACCAUCUUUCAUUACUGUGGUUACCCAUGCCAGUGAGAGUAAAGGAGAGGUUGGUAUGUCUGUAAUCACACGUUCAUUUGUUAUGUAGAUAUAUCCUAAGAGCCUCUCAGCCCAGGAAUAUUAUGCUGGAAUAAGGUUCAAUGCGAAUAUAAAGCAGAACUGCUUCAGAUAGCUUAUUCAUUCUGGAAGACGGAGUUGUUUCCUGGUUUCGCUUAAUCCACUUUCAAAGUGGAUUAAGAUAAUUCAAGAAGAUGAAUUCUUACGCUGGCCUAAGGUUUGUCUACACACGGGUUUAGUCGAAAGUAAUUACUGCAGUGUACCUAAUAAGAGUUUUGGAAUAAUUUGGUGUGGAGACAAGUCCAAAGUCCCGCAUGUGAAACAGACAGAAUCUACUCUUUCUGUAUAACAUGAGGUUAAUUUAGCCCAGCGUUUGACCUACUUCUUUCCUGGUGAAGCAUAUUUAAUUCAUUACAGGUUUUUCUUUCCCAGCAAAAACCCCACAACAGCUACAUGUUUAUUAUCAGUUCCAGGAUAGCGAUGCCAUGUGCCCUCCACUAAAAAUAAACAAUGUAACCAGCAUGUAUGAGUCCCUUCUCAACUGCCUUAAAGUGGGCCGUAGGUUCUUUGCUGGAGAAAGUUACCAGCUUCUCAAAGGUAAAUAUUUAGUGCAGGUUGUUACAAACAAUGAAAACAAACCCCAGAGCUGUCCUCUGCCCUCUUAAAACACCUGUGACCCAUUUGUACCUCCACUGCAUACCAUUCCAAGCAAUAGCACCCAUUCUGAUUCAGCAGUAUUAGUUCCUAAAUGAGGAACCUCUUGGACUUGCACAGAAGGGUUUGCAGGACAGCAGGGCCUUCAGAAGGCACCUGAAAAACAGAUUUCUAUAUAUUUCUAUAUAAAAAUAAACUUACUAGUUUGCUUGCAGAGAUCUGAAUCGGGAGGAGCCUACCUGAAACUCUGGCAGCUGCUCUGCUCUGAGUCAGGUGUAUUGUGUCCCCACUAGCGUACAGGAAGGUUACCAAAAUUAUAAUGAGAACGUACAAAUAUUUUUUUUCUUUUUUUUUUUUUUUGCAACUUUGUGCCAAGCAGAAAGUUUGUCACGUGUCAUUUGGUCUCAUUCUGUGCCACAGACCUCCCUAGGAAGAGAGGUGACUCUCUGACAUGAAUUAAGAGUCCUAAACUUAAUAAACUUAAGGUUGAUUGUUGGAGUUUUUAUUAGGAAGAAAAAAAAAAACACAACAAAACAAACCUACAUGAGAAAGAAAUGAUGUAAGCCUAAGUAGUAAAACAGCCAUUUUUUUUGGAGAAAAAAUAAAUACAAAAGCUAGAUGGUACAAAUUGCAGGCCCUUUAAACAUUGACAUGGGAAAAGCCAAUAAAAGUUAUGAAGAUAAAACCCCCUGCUCCUACUUUGUUUGAAAGGCUGUGAUGUGGGAAGGCAGAGGGUACCCAGGGGGCUUCCCUUUACGCAGAUGCAGCAGCCCUGCUACUCCAUGUAACAGGCAGUGGUGCCACACGUAGGAUUCGUGUCCCUAAGCUCAAUUUGUGAUUACAGGCAUAGCGCUUCUAACCUGUGCUGGUCUUGGUUGGGGAGAUAGGGAAUGGAUUUCACAUACGCUUCCCUCACACCAAACCUGCUUAUUUAAGCCAGAAGCUUUCUGGUAAGAAAGCAAGCAGUGACUAAAGAAGGUAAAACACAAAUAAACGUAAAACAAGAAACCAAGUUGGUCUUGAAUUCUGUCAUGCUGGGUGACUUUGACUGUGGGUCUAGUCUUGAUAUUAAGGCUCCAACUAGACGAAGAUGGAAGGCAGUGAGAGUUUUGGACCAUAUAGGAGCAUGCCUGAUCUGAAAUCCCACUUAUUUAAACAAUUAAUUAGAACAUCUUACACUCUGCUUCUGCUAAGAGGUCCCUGAGUGCUCAAGCUACCUGCAGUGGUGGGGUGUCCUGGCUCUUCCCCCCCCGCUGCUGUCAUUACAGGGGAGCUACUCAUCCAGUGGGGAAGGUGUCUUUAAAUCCCUGAGACGACAGCACAACAGGCGCAAGAGGAAAUCUCAGCGCACAGCCAAUACAAUGAAAUGAAGGAUCCUCUAUGGGAAUUGGUUAGUAGCACCAAUGUUUAAUAUUUGUCGUAACAACCACCGACUGUUUUGUUUUUUGUUCUAACAAUGUGAAUUAUGCAUUAAACAUUAAUACAAGCGAGUGUACUUUU